CCCUUAGAGUUUGAUCAUGGCUCAGAUUGAACGCUGGCGGCAGGCCUAACACAUGCAAGUCGAGCGGCAGCACAAGGGAGUUUACUCCUGAGGUGGCGAGCGGCGGACGGGUGAGUAAUGCCUAGGGAUCUGCCCAGUCGAGGGGGAUAACAGUUGGAAACGACUGCUAAUACCGCAUACGCCCUACGGGGGAAAGAGGGGGACUUUCGGGCCUCUCGCGAUUGGAUGAACCUAGGUGGGAUUAGCUAGUUGGUGAGGUAAUGGCUCACCAAGGCGACGAUCCCUAGCUGUUCUGAGAGGAUGAUCAGCCACACUGGGACUGAGACACGGCCCAGACUCCUACGGGAGGCAGCAGUGGGGAAUAUUGCACAAUGGGGGAAACCCUGAUGCAGCCAUGCCGCGUGUGUGAAGAAGGCCUUCGGGUUGUAAAGCACUUUCAGUAGGGAGGAAAGGUUGUAAGUUAAUACCUUGCAGCUGUGACGUUACCUACAGAAGAAGGACCGGCUAACUCCGUGCCAGCAGCCGCGGUAAUACGGAGGGUCCAAGCGUUAAUCGGAAUUACUGGGCGUAAAGCGUGCGCAGGCGGUUUGUUAAG
rnacentral:rRNA from 1 species